rnacentral:rRNA from 1 species
AGAGUUUGAUCCUGGCUCAGGAUGAACGCUGGCGGCGUGCCUAACACAUGCAAGUCGAGCGAUCUUCUUCGGAAGAGAGCGGCGGACGGGUGAGUAGCGCGUGGGUAACCUGCCUCAUACACAUGGAUAACAUACCGAAAGGUAUGCUAAUACAAGAUGAUAUAAGAGAUUCGCAUGGAUUUCUUAUCAAAGCUCCGGCGGUAUGAGAUGGACCCGCGUCUGAUUAGCUAGUUGGUAAGGUAAUGGCUUACCAAGGCGACGAUCAGUAGCCGACCUGAGAGGGUGAUCGGCCACAUUGGAACUGAGACACGGUCCAAACUCCUACGGGAGGCAGCAGUGGGGAAUAUUGCACAAUGGGCGAAAGCCUGAUGCAGCAACGCCGCGUGAGCGAUGAAGGCCUUCGGGUCGUAAAGCUCUGUCCUCAAGGAAGAUAAUGACGGUACUUGAGGAGGAAGCCCCGGCUAACUACGUGCCAGCAGCCGCGGUAAUACGUAGGUUGCGAGCGUUGUCCGGAUUUACUGGGUGUAAAGGGCGUGUAGGCGGAGAUGCAAGUUGGGAGUGAAAUCCAUGGGCUCAACCCAUGAACUGCUUCCAAAACUGUAUCCCUUGAGUAUCGGAGAGGCAAGCGGAAUUCCUAGUAUAGCGGUGAAAUGCGUAGAUAUUAGGAGGAACACCAGUGGCGAAGGCGGCUUGCUGGACGACAACUGACGCUGAGGCGCGAAAGCGUGGGGAGCAAACAGGAUUAGAUACCCUGGUAGUCCACGCUGUAAACGAUGAAUACUAGGUGUGGGAGGACUGACCCCUUCCGUGCCGCAGUUAACACAAUAAGUAUUCCACCUGGGGAGUACGACCGCAAGGUUGAAACUCAAAGGAAUUGACGGGGGCCCGCACAAGCAGUGGAUUAUGUGGUUUAAUUCGACGCAACGCGAAGAACCUUACCAGGACUUGACAUCCAACUAACGAAGUAGAGAUACAUUAGGUGCCCUUCGGGGAAAGUUGAGACAGGUGGUGCAUGGUUGUCGUCAGCUCGUGUCGUGAGAUGUUGGGUUAAGUCCCGCAACGAGCGCAACCCCUAUUGUUAGUUGCUACGAAAGAGCACUCUAGCGAGACUGCCGUUGACAAAACGGAGGAAGGCGGGGACGACGUCAAAUCAUCAUGCCCCUUAUGUCCUGGGCUACACACGUAAUACAAUGGUGGAAAACAGAGGGAAGCAAAGCCGCGAGGCAGAGCAAAACCCUAAAAGCCAUCUCAGUUCGGAUUGCAGGCUGCAACUCGCCUGCAUGAAGCUGGAAUUGCUAGUAAUCGCGGAUCAGAAUGCCGCGGUGAAUACGUUCCCGGGCCUUGCACACACCGCCCGUCA